rnacentral:rRNA from 1 species
GACGUAGGGCGCGAGCGUUGUCCGGAUUUAUUGGGCGUAAAGAGCUCGUAGGCGGCUUGUCGCGUCGACUGUGAAAACCCGCGGCUCAACUGUGGGCUUGCAGUCGAUACGGGCAGGCUAGAGUUCGGUAGGGGAGACUGGAAUUCCUGGUGUAGCGGUGAAAUGCGCAGAUAUCAGGAGGAACACCGGUGGCGAAGGCGGCUAUCUGGACAGAGUCUGACGCUGAGGCGCGAAAGCUAGGGGAGCAAACAGG